AUGGAUGAGGACAAGGACAAGGAAUAUGAGGAGCAGAAUCUGUUUGUGGUUCUGCCAUUGCAAGCAGGUGCUGAUAUGUCGGAUGAUGAUACAUCAGAUGGGUAUAAGGAAUCAGCAGAUGAACUAGAAGGUGACACUAUGUCUGAGGAAUCACUUGUGCAUGUUGUCUCUAGUGAGGAGGAGGCAAGAGAAAGGAAAAGGAAAAAGAACAAGAGGCCAAGAGCCAAUGCUCCUGUUAGGACGUCAUCCAAUGUUUGGGCCCAUUUUCACAAGGUCAAGGAGCCAUGUGAGAAGAGUGGAGAGAUUGCGUUGAAGGUUGUUUGUAAUUAUUGUAUCGAUAAGAAGUAUGCAUAUACGCAAGGUGGCAACACCUCGACUAUUGGAAGGCAUCAUUUAAAAUGUAAGAAUUACAAGUCCAAGAUGGCUAGGGAUGCCAUCCAAACAACUCUUGAAUUGCACAAAAUCAAUGGUACAGGAAGUGGUCCAACAAUGCACCCCUCUAUUGAGUACAACCAACGAAUCGUCAAGGAGCUUAUUGCUAAGAUGAUAUGCGUGCAUGAGUAG
rnacentral:rRNA from 1 species